rnacentral:rRNA from 1 species
GGAUUAGAUACCCUGGUAGUCCACGCCGUAAACGAUGAGUACUUGGUGGCGGAAGAUUCGACCCUUUCGCUGCUGGAGUUAACGCAUUAAGUACUCCGCCUGGGGACUACGGCCGCAAGGCUGAAACUCAAAGGAAUUGACGGGGACCCGCACAAGCGGUGGAUUAUGUGGUUUAAUUCGAUGCAACGCGAAGAACCUUACCUGGACUUGACAUGUUAGUGACCGUUCUGUGAAAGCAGUCCAUUUUUUAUGCUUGCAUAAAAACACUAUCACAGGUGAUGCAUGGCUGUCGUCAGCUCGUGCCG